UACAGAGACCUCAAGCGUUAUCCGGAUUUAUUGGGCGUAAAGCGUAAGUAGGCGGGCAUGUUAGUCGGGUGUCAAAGCUCGGGGCUCAACCCCGAAAAGGCGUUCGAAACGGCAUGUCUAGAGAGUGUGAGAGAUUGAUGGAAUUCAUGGUGUAGUAGUGAAAUGCGUUGAUAUCAUGAGGAACACCCAAGGCGUAGGCAAUCAAUUGGCACAUUUCUGACGCUCAGUUACGAAAGCGUGGGUAGCGAAUGGG
rnacentral:rRNA from 1 species